rnacentral:rRNA from 1 species
AUACGUAGGGGGCAAGCGUUGUCCGGAAUCAUUGGGCGUAAAGCGCGUGUAGGCGGCUCGAUAAGUCUGCUGUGAAAGUCCAGGGCUCAACCCUGGGAUGCCGGUGGAUACUGUCGAGCUCGAGUCCGGAAGAGGCGAGUGGAAUUCCUGGUGUAGCGGUGAAAUGCGCAGAUAUCAGGAGGAACACCAAUGGCGAAGGCAGCUCGCUGGGACGUGACUGACGCUGAGACGCGAAAGCGUGGGGAGCAAACAGGAUUAGAUACCCUGGUAGUCCACGCCGUAAACGAUGGGCACUAGGUGUAGGGGGUGUCGACUCCCCCUGUGCCGAAGCUAACGCAUUAAGUGCCCCGCCUGGGGAGUACGGCCGCAAGGCUAAA